GGUGGGGUCUUCGACUGGGGUGAAGUCGUAACAAGGUAGCCGUAGGGGAACCUGUGGCUGGAUUGAAUCCUUC
rfam:Triticum aestivum genome assembly, contig: Triticum_aestivum_CS42_TGACv1_scaffold_362864_4DS